GAUGCGGUGGCUCAAUGGUAGAGCUUUCGACUCCAGAUCGAAGGGCUGCAGGUUCAAUUCCUGUCCGUGUCA
rnacentral:tRNA from 2 species